GACGAACGCUGGCGGUAUGCUUAACACAUGCAAGUCGAACGAGAAGUUUUUUAUUGAACCUUCGGGGGAUAUAAGAGACAGACAGUGGCGAACGGGUGAGUAACGCGUGGGCAACCUACCUAUCGGAGCGGGAUAGCCUCGAGAAAUCGGGAGUAAAACCGCAUAACACGGAUAUAUCGCAUGAUGAAUCCGUCAAAACUCCGGUGCCGAUAGAUGGGCCCGCGUCUGAUUAGCUAGUUGGUAAGGUAAGGGCUUACCAAGGCAACGAUCAGUAGCCGGUUUGAGAGGGCGAACGGCCACACUGGAACUGAGACACGGUCCAGACUCCUACGGGAGGCAGCAGUGGGGAAUAUUGCGCAAUGGGGGCAACCCUGACGCAGCAAUACCGCGUGAGGAAGAAGGUUUUCGGAUCGUAAAGCUCUGUUAUUGGGGAAGAAGCAGGACGGUACC
rnacentral:rRNA from 1 species